AUUGAACGCUGGCGGCAGGCCUAACACAUGCAAGUCGAGCGGAUGAAGGGAGCUUGCUCCUGGAUUCAGCGGCGGACGGGUGAGUAAUGCCUAGGAAUCUGCCUGGUAGUGGGGGAUAACGUCCGGAAACGGGCGCUAAUACCGCAUACGUCCUGAGGGAGAAAGUGGGGGAUCUUCGGACCUCACGCUAUCAGAUGAGCCUAGGUCCGAUUAGCUAGUUGGUGGGGUAAAGGCCUACCAAGGCGACCAUCCGUAACUGGUCUGAGAGGGUGAUCAGUCACACUGGAAGUGAGAAACGGCACAGAGACUUAGGGAAGGCAGAGGUGGGGAAGAUAGGAAAAGGGGGGAAAGAUUGAUCAAGCCAUGCAGGGUUGGUGAAGAAGGUCUUCGGAUUGUAAAGAAGUUUAAGUGGGGAGAAAGGCCAUUAGGUGAAAACCUGCCUGUUUGAAGGUAACAAAAAAAGAAGCAACGGCUAAAUUCGUG
rnacentral:rRNA from 1 species